GUCUAUAGCCAUGCUACCCUGAACAAGCCCGAUCUCGUCUGAUCUUGGAAGUUAAGCAGGGUCAGGCCUGGUUAGUACUUGGAUGGGUACUGUAGGAA
rnacentral:rRNA from 1 species